rnacentral:rRNA from 1 species
GGCCCACCAAGGCGACGAUUGGUAGCCGGACUGAGAGGUUGAACGGCCACAUUGGGACUGAGACACGGCCCAGACUCCUACGGGAGGCAGCAGUGGGGGAUAUUGCACAAUGGGGGAAACCCUGAUGCAGCGACGCCGCGUGGAGGAAGAAGGUUUUCGGAUUGUAAACUCCUGUCGUUAGGGACGAUAAUGACGGUACCUAACAAGAAAGCACCGGCUAACUACGUGCCAGCAGCCGCGGUAAAACGUAGGGUGCAAGCGUUGUCCGGAAUUACUGGGUGUAAAGGGAGCGCAGGCGGGAAGACAAGUUGGAAGUGAAAACCAUGGGCUCAACCCAUGAAUUGCUUUCAAAACUGUUUUUCUUGAGUAGUGCAGAGGUAGAUGGAAUUCCCGGUGUAGCGGUGGAAUGCGUAGAUAUCGGGAGGAACACCAGUGGCGAAGGCGGUCUACUGGGCACCAACUGACGCUGAGGCUCGAAAGCAUGGGUAGCAAACAGGAUUAGAUACCCUGGUAGUCCAUGCCGUAAACGAUGAUUACUAGGUGUUGGGGGAUUGACCCCCUCAGUGCCGCAGUUAACACAAUAAGUAAUCCACCUGGGGAGUACGACCGCAAGGUUGAAACUCAAAGGAAUUGACGGGGGCCCGCACAAGCAGUGGAGUAUGUGGUUUAAUUCGAAGCAACGCGAAGAACCUUACCAGGUCUUGACAUCCGAUGCAUAGCACAGAGAUGUGUGAAAUCCUUCGGGACAUCGAGACAGGUGGUGCAUGGUUGUCGUCAGCUCGUGUCGUGAGAUGUUGGGUUAAGUCCCGCAACGAGCGCAACCCUUAUUGCCAGUUACUACGUCAAGAGGACUCUGGCGAGACUGCCGUUGACAAAACGGAGGAAGGUGGGGAUGACGUCAAAUCAUCAUGCCCUUUAUGACCUGGGCUACACACGUACUACAAUGGCGUUAAACAAAGAGAAGCAAGACCGCGAGGUGGAGCAAAACUCAAAAACAACGUCUCAGUUCAGAUUGCAGGCUGCAACUCGCCUGCAUGAAGUCGGAAUUGCUAGUAAUCGCGGAUCAGCAUGCCGCGGUGAAUACGUUCCCGGGCCUUGUACACACCGCCCGUCACACCAUGAGAGCCGGGGGGACCCGAAGUCGAUAGUCUAACCGCAAGGAGGACGUCGCCGAAGGUAAAACUGGUGAUUGGGGUGAAGUCGUAACAAGGUAGCCGUA